GGAGGUGGGGGAAGGGACAGAGGGGCUGUCCUGCUGGUUUUUGCGGGAGGUGGGGGAAAGGGACAGAGGGCAGCCCCUCAGUCCCUUCCUCCACCUCCC